GUUUAACAUGAUGGACUAUAGGACAGGACUGCUGCUUUUAACUCUCUGCUGGGCAGGUGUUGACGGUCAGACUCUGACUGAAUCUGAACCAGUGGUUAAAAGACCUGGAGAAUCUCACAGACUGACCUGUACAGCCUCUGGACUCACAAUCAGUGGCUACUGGAUGAACUGGAUCAGACAGGCUCCUGGAAAAGGCCUGGAGUGGAUUGCAACCAUCACUGGUGGCAGUAGCAGCAUCUACUACUCUCAGUCAGUCCGAGGCCGGUUUACCAUCUCCAGAGACGACAGCAGACAGCAGCUGUAUCUGCAGAUGAACAGUCUGAAGACUGAAGAUUCUGCUGUUUAUUAUUGUGCUCGAGAUCCACAGUGACUGAAGAUGGUUGAGCAGCUGUACAAAAUCUUUCAGUCCUCAUAUUUCUGACUACAUUUUUGUAAUAUUGAUACUAAAUAUUAAACAUUGUGUUUCAUUUUUUUCAAAUCAAAUGUUUUAUGUUCCAUAAAAUGUAAACGCAUUUUAAGAAUAUUAUUUUAUGUAUGAUAAUAAAUUAAUCU